rnacentral:rRNA from 1 species
UGGGGAAUAUUGCACAAUGGAGGGAACUCUGAUGCAGCGACGCCGCGUGAACGAAGAAGGCUUUCGAGUCGUAAAGUUCUUUUAUAUGGGAAGAUAAUGACGGUACCAUAAGAAAAAGCCCCGGCUAACUACGUGCCAGCAGCCGCGGUAAUACGUAGGGGGCUAGCGUUGUCCGGAAUCACUGGGCGUAAAGGGUUCGCAGGCGGAAAUGCAAGUCGGGUGUAAAAGGCAGUAGCUUAACUACUGUAAGCAUUUGAAACUGCAUAUCUUGAGAAGAGUAGAGGUAAGUGGAAUUUUUAGUGUAGCGGUGAAAUGCGUAGAUAUUAAAAAGAAUACCGGUGGCGAAGGCGGCUUACUGGGCUCAUUCUGACGCUGAGGAACGAAAGCGUGGGUAGCAAACAGG